rnacentral:ncRNA from 1 species
GAACUCAACAAAAUAGCCCCAAAACUUCAGAAGGGGUGCCUCCUCACAAAGGGGGUCGCAGUGAUUAGGCCCGGGUCACUGUUUACCAAAAACACAGGUCUCUGCAAAGUCGUAAGACCAUGCAUGGGGGCUGACGCCUGCCCAGUGCCAGAAGGUUAAGGAAGUUGGUGACCUGAUCACAAGGAAGCCAGCGACCGGUAGACAACUUUUUGCAUCUUAAUAGAAAGAUUGUAUGAAGGUAUGGAGUUAAUCCAGCCAGCUC